GCACUGGUGGGAGAAGCUGCAAACAAUCUUCAGGAAUACUUCAGAACAAUGUACAAGAAAGUCACGGAGGCUGACGUUGAAGAAUUUGAAGCUAAAUAUAGAGGGUCAGAUUCUGAGAAAACGGACUUGAAGGAACUCUACACAAAAUAUAAGGGCAACAUGAACAGGCUUUUCUGCACAAUGAUUUUCUCAGAACCAAAGCUUGAUUCUCACCGCUUCAAGGAUAUAAUUGAUGAGGCGAUUAGUGAAGGUAAACACA